UCUGCGCCUGCGCCCAUGUGGCUCGUUGGCGCAUGCGCAGUCUUUCCCCGGCUUACCUGCAUGCCCGCUGAGAAGUCAUUCGGAGUGGCUCUCCCGUCAGAGCCGGUAUGGGGCGAUGGCUGCUCCCUUUCCUCUUCUUUCUGGCGGCAGCGGAGGCCGAGGGCUCCCAGUGCGCCAAUGUGGGGCAAUUCCGCUGUGCGGACGGUGUCGGGCCUUGCCUGUCCUCGGGGCGCUUGUGUGACGGGCGCCGGGACUGUGCGGACGGCUCGGACGAGGCCGAGGAGCGCUGCGCCUUCUCCUCCUCCUUCUGCCGGGAGGACGAGUUCCGGUGCUCGCCGGGCGCCGAGUGCUACCCGCGGGCCUUCCUCUGCGACCGGCACCCCGACUGCCCCGACGGGGGGGACGAAAGGGGGUGCGCUGCCCAGGAGACGGACGCUCCGGCCACAACGGAAAAGACCCAGACAGAGGCCCUGGAUGACCUUGAAAAUACAGCGCACGAACACUGGGUGAUUCUGACCAUUGUUGCACUCCUGGUCUUGGCGGCUGCGGUCCUUGUGGUCAGUCUUCCGCGGCCGGUCAGUCGCGACGCCAAGUCUCUCCUGUUGAGAUUCCGCCUGGAUCAGGCCUCCGAGGAGGAGCUCAUGAGGAAAGAGCAGCCCUGACGUCCGUUUCAGAACUGGAUUAUAGAGGAGUCUGCACUGCCACUUAUCCCAGUUUCGAGGCAGAACGGACGGGUCUCCGAGAAAAAGAAGGAUGCAAAAAGAGGAGGAGAAAUCGUUUCAGUUCCCUUCGGGGUGGUGGAUUAUAAACACAGAAACGGACGCGGACGGGCUCUCCUUCCUUCCCGAAAUCCGGAAAACGGGGAAGACGUGGCUCGCCUGGACACGGUCAGAGCCAGGAUGGGGUCAGGGCUUAUGAGGGAGGCCGGGCUCCUUUCCUUCCUCCGGCCAAAGCCGGCUCAAGACGCUAAGCCCCGGAGGAGGUCCCCUCGGCAGGCCGGAUCGUCCUCCCGCCCGCCCUCCCGCCCGUCGGCUGGCGCCCCGAUGAUGAUGCCCCCCCGCUGGGGCGCUGGCCAUGUGGGAACGGCUCCGUCGGGCCCUGGGCGGCGUCCGGAGGGGCCUGCGGGCCUUCUGGGCCAAGAACGGCCUCCUGGUCCUCUCCCUCCUCUCCGUCGUCACCGGAUGCGGGGUCGGGUUCCUCCUCAGGCGCCUCCAGCUCUCUGACCUGGUGAGUGGAGGGACAUCCG